AAUCAACGCUGGCGGCGUGCCUAACACAUGCAAGUCGCACGGGCAGUAGCAAUACUGUCAGUGGCGGACGGGUGAGUAACGCGUAGGAAUCUAUCCUUGAAUGGGGGACAACCGUGGGAAACUACGGCUAAUACCGCAUGAUGCCUGAGGGCCAAAGACGAAAGUCGUUUGAGGAGGAGCCUGCGUCUGAUUAGGUAGUUGGUGGGGUAAAGGCCUACCAAGCCCUACGAUCAGUAGCUGGUCUGAGAGGAUGAUCAGCCACAUUGGGACUGAGACACGGCCCAAACUCCUACGGGAGGCAGCAGUGGGGAAUAUUGGACAAUGGGCGCAAGCCUGAUCCAGCAAUGCCGCGUGGAUGAAGAAGGUCUUCGGAUUGUAAAGUCCUUUUGGCGGGGACGAUGAUGACGGUACCCGCAGAAUAAGCUCCGGCUAACUUCGUG
rnacentral:rRNA from 1 species